CUAAAUUGACUCCCCCCUCUCUCAGCCACUCCCGUGCUUUUCAUCACUUAUCUCUUCGCUUUUCUUUUCUCCUCUAAUUCAUAUCUCUUUAACACUACGUCUAUCCUUUGCUUGCUCCAUGAUAAAAUCUCUGUUUUCCUCACAAACACAUCUAGGUCGAAUCCUCAGUCUCCAGCCCUCGUCCUGUAUACGCCGAAGAGGGAACUUUUGAGUACUGUUUUGGUUGCUGAAAUUUAAAUUUAAACCGAAGUGACGGGCCAUGAGAGAGAGGGGUAUUAUCUGUGGAGUUUUGUUUGGUUGAUGUUGAAAGGGGUUAGUUAAUUGGUGGAAGGGCGAGUGGGAAGCAGGGGAAGGGCAAAGUUACCUAAAGGGAGAGGGGCCCAGACAGCAAAGCGAGAGUUGGCGUGCGAUGCUAAAUGCUAUGGUUUUCACUUCGAGAUCUCAGUAUUGUUGAAUGGCAUGUGGGCGGGCGCCCCCACCAGUGGCCUUCCAAUACAAACAAACACUCUUGUUCCUUCACACCCCUCCCUGCCAUUUCUUUUACUCUCAAUCUCCUCAUUUGUGCCUCCCUUUCUUUAAGCUUUUCAAUAUCCUGUUCUUCCAUUCACGGUAAAAGCCACCGUCCUGCCCCAUGUUUAUUCAGAAAUACCCCAAAAACAAUAAGGGGGAGAGAGACAGGUGAACAUAGAUAUAAAUAUAUAUAUAUAUAUAUAUAUAUAUAUUACCCACAAAGGCCAGCCUGUUGUGCGUCUGGCGCAAAGGCGCCAGCAUUUAGAGCAGGGAGUGGACCCGCCGGCUCAGGAUUAGGCUCCCGGUACAACACGCAGAAUUAAUAAACUGAUGGAUUCCUUUAAGUGGUUGCCAGAUUUAUUUAAACAGUGACAUAGUGGUUGUAAAACAACUGGUGCUUCGAUUAGGGGAAUGGGAUUUUUAGGAAUGGCUGGAUUCGAUCCCCUCCUAGCUAGUCUGGCUAAUAGGUCUGUCGUGGCUUUGCUUUGCGUCUGUUGAUUCUGCAAUAAUGACAACAUUAUGGUGAUGAUGAUCUCAGAAUAGCUGAGUCCGCAGAAAGUACGUUAUGAUUACAAACCUUUGCCGUUUCUCGUGAAGAGCACAUCAACUUGUAAAGUACAAGACUUUAAGACCGUGCACUGCUGCUACGUAUUAACUCGUUAAGGUUUGGGCUCCAUGAAAUUGCCGAAGCCAGUUGCAACUGAGUUCGCAGAUUCCUUAAUCAUGCUCUUAAGCUGGGCUAAGCAGUGCAGCCAUCAUCGCUUGCCAUCACAUUCAUCUAAACAAGAGUUAAACUGUUUGAUUCAUUUAAAUUUCGAAGUAUGGCAUUUCUUGAAAUCUUGCAGCGCUGGUUAUCAGAAUGAUUCAUUUGAAUUUCUCUCUUUCAUUUGAAACUCCAGUCCUGAAGGCCGGCCGCUUCGCAAUAUAUAUCCAUCAAGGCAGCACAUUUGAAGUUAUAAGCAAUCAAAUGAAAGUAACCUACAUUUUCAGUUCUAGUGAAUAGUGGGCUGUAAUGUACUUAUAGAUUUCAUGCGUAGAAUGAAAUCCCUUCAAGCUAGGUAGUGGACAAUGGAAGCGCCAACAAGCACAAGCACAUGCUCGAGCUGGUUGCCACUGCCAUGUAGCAGAUUUGUUUGUAUCUUGUUAACGUGAUGGAGUUGGCUAAUAUUGUCGUGUUUCAUUCUCACUCUCUUUGGCCAUCGCUUUUUUUUUUUUUUUUGAACAAUUCAUUAUUUCUGGCUUUCCAUGAUCAGAGCAAGUAUGGUAGGGUCACCGAACUCGGAUGGUUUUUAAUUCCAAGCGAUAUACACCUCACACCUCAGCUUUGAAUCUCGACCGACAAGCACCCCAAAAAACAAAAAGGAGAGCGAUUUUCUUGCAACAUGAAAAGUCCAUCUUUCGAGAGCCAGUUCAUUGCUUCUUUUUCCUCUUCUGCUGCAGCAAUUGGUGGUUGAGAUCGAGAACCACUUUUUUCGAGGUUUUCGCUUUGAAGUUACGGGUAUGUAUAGCCGGGAAAUAAAUGCAACUGGAGGAAAAGUUGGCAUCGAUAUAUAUGCUGCUUAUGCCAGAGGAAAAAUUACUUAUGCAGGGGCGCAGGCAAGAUAAAGAUCAAGCCCGAUUCAUCAGAUUGCAUACAUGAUUAUCGUAUCCAAUAAUUAUGGGAGUUUUAGCUUGGUUAUCUGUUUUACACGUUGUAAUUAUAUUGUCCGAUGGUUUUUUUCUGUCCCUUCUACUUUCAUCGGGAGGAAGGAACAGUAAUUGAUAUUAAAGCUGUUGCAAUUCCACUUGUUGAGUGGGAGGGGGCAUGAUCCCUUGUAUGGUCUUUUCACGAGUAAAUAUGUCACAGGGCAAACAAUCUAGAUUUUUUAUCGAUUAGAAAGUCGCUUCUGCAA